AUGGAGCAAUUGGAGAAGAGGAUGGAUGCUGCUGAACAACAAAUCAAAGAGCUGCGUGAAGAUCUUAAUAGGAGAUUUGACCAGCUGGUUGAGAUGAUAAGAAAGGGUGUCCCCCCUGCUACCAAUGAAGGAGAUUCAUCUAAAGAAGAGGAAGAUGUUCAUCAAGGAAGACGGAGAGGUAAUCUUGGAGCAAGACCGCCACGACAACAUGUUGUUCAACGUGCUUCAAGAAGGCCAAUUUAUGUUGAGGCUUCUGAAGGUGAAGAAUAUGAUGAUGCCCUUGAAGAGCCAAAUCUCUACGCAUAUCGGAGAGCACCCAACCCUACAUAUGCAAGAGAUACAUACAAGGUGAAAGCCGAGAUCCCAAGUUUUAAUGAAAAUGUUGACAUUGAAGGGUGCCUGGAUUGGUUAUAUGAAGUGGAGACUUUCUUUGAGGUCAUGGAGGUUCCGGAAGAUCGUAGAGUUCCUUUGGUCGCAUACAAACUGAAAGGAGGAGCCAGUGCAUGGUGGCAUCGCGUUCAAGAGGAGCGCAGGCUCAGAGGAGAACCUCAUAUUAGAACUUGGCGACAAAUGAAAGGCCUCUUGAAAGGGAGAUUUUUGCCCGCUGAUUAUGACCAGAUCCUAUUUAUCCAAUUUCAAAAUUGUGCUCAAGGAAAUAGGACUGUUUCAGAUUACACGGAGGAGUUUCUAAGGCUACAAGCGAGGUGCAACCUUGCUGAAACUGAAGAGCAACAAGUUGCAAGGUACAUCAAUGGUCUCAAUGAUGCUAUUCAAGAUCGAUUGAUGAUGCAACAAAUCUGGUCCGUUGAUCAAGCACAAGCUCUAGCCUUAAAGGCCGAGAGGUUUGUGAGGAUGAGAAAGACAACUAAGGCUCCAUAUCCUCCAUAUCCUCAUACCGAAGGCUCAUCUAGGAGCCAACCUAAUAGAGUGGAAGAAAAGACCACUCCACCAAAGACAAAACAGCCCAUCCCGAAGCAAACUAGAGGCAAGGGUAAGGCAAAUGAAGGCCCAAAGUGCUAUAAAUGUGAUAAAGAGGGACACAUAUCCAGCGGCUGCCCACUAAGGAAAUUUGUUAACACGACUAUCCAUGAUGGUGAAAGCGAUGAGGAAGAAUACGAAUCUGAAGAUGUAGACGGACAAGAGGUUUGUCAAGAAGAAGGUGAAGAGGUGGUAUGUGUGAUCCAGCGUGUCCUAUGUUCCACACCACAACUCGAUGACACACAACGGAAGAAAAUAUUUGAGAGCAAAUGCACGGUGAAUGGCAAGGUAUGCAAACUAGUGAUUGAUAGUUGCAGCUGCGAGAAUCUUAUCUCCCAGAAGUUGGUGGACCAUUUAAAGCUUGAAACCCAUGAUCAUCCAAAUCCCUACACUAUUGGAUGGAUCAAGAAAGGAGUGAAUAUGAGGAUCACCAAACAAUGCAACCUGCCACUUUCUUUGGGUAAGCAUUAUCGCUCAAAUGUGUUGUGUGAUGUGGUUGACAUGGAUGCCAGCCAUGUUCUUCUUGGGAGGCCUUGGCAAUUUGAUGUGGAUACUACACACAAGGGCAAGGAAAUUCUUACUCUUUCAUUUGGAACAAGAGAAGGAUCAUUAUCUUACCAAACAAACCCGAAGGUAAUACCUCUAAGGAGGAGGGGGAAACUAUGUUAA
rnacentral:rRNA from 1 species